GACAGAGGUGCCGAGCGUUAGGCGGAAUCACUGGGCUUAAAGGGCGCGUAGGCGGGUGCUCAAGUCCGGGGUGAAAUCCUCCAGCUCAACUGGAGAACUGCCUCGGAUACUGGGUGCCUCGAGUGUGGUAGGGGUGUGCGGAACUAUCGGUGGAGCGGUGAAAUGCGUUGAUAUCGAUAGGAACUCCGGUGGCGAAGGCGGCUCACUGGACCGGAACUGACGCUGAGGCGCGAAAGCGUGGGGAGCAAACGGG
rnacentral:rRNA from 1 species